AAUUUCUCAUCAACAGAAACGAAUUAAGUUCAAACAGCAGGUAAUUGCUAUAAAUUGUUGAAGAGUUCCCUCGACUAUCUUUCUUCUCCAUCAUCAGAUCGACUCCAGACCUUUAUUAAAUAGUAGUGCUUUAUAGUACUUAAUGAAAACAUGAUUAAAUUUACUAGUCACCCUUACGAUUUUUGAAAGUUUCCCUCGAUUUCUCUGGGAUCCCAUCAUCAGACCCUGGUUUCCUUAUCAUGGUACCAAACUAUGAAUAUCUCCUUUCCAACAAAAAAA
rnacentral:misc_RNA from 1 species